rnacentral:rRNA from 1 species
GACGAACGCUGGCGGCGUGCUUAACACAUGCAAGUCGAACGGAAAGGCCCUGCUUUUGUGGGGUGCUCGAGUGGCGAACGGGUGAGUAACACGUGAGUAACCUGCCCUUGACUUUGGGAUAACUUCAGGAAACUGGGGCUAAUACCGGGUAGGAGCUCCUGCUGCAUGGUGGGGGUUGGAAAGUUUCGGCGGUUGGGGAUGGACUCGCGGCUUAUCAGCUUGUUGGUGGGGUAGUGGCUUACCAAGGCUUUGACGGGUAGCCGGCCUGAGAGGGUGACCGGCCACAUUGGGACUGAGAUACGGCCCAGACUCCUACGGGAGGCAGCAGUGGGGAAUAUUGCACAAUGGGCGGAAGCCUGAUGCAGCAACGCCGCGUGCGGGAUGACGGCCUUCGGGUUGUAAACCGCUUUCGCCUGUGACGAAGCGUGAGUGACGGUAAUGGAUAAAGAAGCACCGGCUAACUACGUG